GCCCAGACUCCUACGGGUAGGCAGCAGUGGGGAAUAUUGCACAAUGGGCGAAAGCCUGAUGCAGCGACGCCGCGUGAGGGAUGAAGGCCUUAUGGUUGUAAACCUCUUUCAGCGGGGACGAAGCGAAAGUGACGGUACCUGCAGAAGAAGCACCGGCUAACUACG
rnacentral:rRNA from 1 species